rnacentral:rRNA from 1 species
AACGAACGCUGGCGGCAUGCCUAACACAUGCAAGUCGAACGAGACCUUCGGGUCUAGUGGCGCACGGGUGCGUAACGCGUGGGAACCUGCCCUUAGGUUCGGAAUAACUCCCCGAAAGGGGUGCUAAUACCGGAUAAUGUCUUCGGACCAAAGAUUUAUCGCCUUUGGAUGGGCCCGCGUUGGAUUAGCUAGUUGGUAGGGUAAAAGCCUACCAAGGCGACGAUCCAUAGCUGGUCUGAGAGGAUGAUCAGCCAAACUGGGACUGAGACACGGCCCAGACUCCUACGGGAGGCAGCAGUAGGGAAUAUUGGACAAUGCGCGAAAGCCUGAUCCAGCAAUGCCGCGUGAGUGAUGAAGGCCUUAGGGUUGUAAAGCUCUUUUACCCGGGAUGAUAAUGGCAGUACCGGGAGAAUAAGCUCCGGCUAACUCCGUG